rnacentral:rRNA from 1 species
CAGUAGCCGCGGUAAUACGGAGGGUGCAAGCGUUAAUCGGAAUUACUGGGCGUAAAGCGCACGCAGGCGGUUUGUUAAGUCAGAUGUGAAAUCCCCGAGCCUAACUUGGGAACUGCAUUUGAAACUGGCAAGCUAGAGUCUUGUAGAGGGGGGUAGAAUUCCAGGUGUAGCGGUGAAAUACGUAGAGAUCUGGAGGAAUACCGGUGGCGAAGGCGGCCCCCUGGACAAAGACUGACGCUCAGGUGCGAAAGCGUGGGGAGCAAACAGGAUUAGAUACCCCAGUAGUCCCUGUCUCUUAUAC